GCCAAUGCAUAAGGGAAGGGUCUGUCAUCUGGGGAGAUAAUGAACAGACACAGAAUCUACUAUCUCCCACUGGAGCGACCCUGGGCCAGUACCUUGCCUUCUCAGAAUCUCACCUCCGUCGGCAUUCAAGAACAAGUAUCUGCCAUCUUCCAAGGACUAAUCCCUCACGAGAAACUGACCCUUGGUUAACUUCUUGGCCGUUUUUCCCUGGAAACAGAUAAAGACCGAAUGUCUGCGAGAGCGUCAGUGUCAUUCAGCUGGACGCCGUCAGCAUCGACACACGUCGGCUCCUGCUGACUGUUUAUUCUUCUCAGUGUGGGAGGUACAGGUAUUGACUUUAAGUUUCAAGAAA